rnacentral:rRNA from 2 species
AAAUUGAAGAGUUUGAUCAUGGCUCAGAUUGAACGCUGGCGGCAGGCCUAACACAUGCAAGUCGAACGGUAACAGGAAGCAGCUUGCUGCUUCGCUGACGAGUGGCGGACGGGUGAGUAAUGUCUGGGAAACUGCCUGAUGGAGGGGGAUAACUACUGGAAACGGUGGCUAAUACCGCAUAACGUCGCAAGACCAAAGAGGGGGACCUUCGGGCCUCUUGCCAUCAGAUGUGCCCAGAUGGGAUUAGCUUGUUGGUGAGGUAACGGCUCACCAAGGCGACGAUCCCUAGCUGGUCUGAGAGGAUGACCAGCCACACUGGAACUGAGACACGGUCCAGACUCCUACGGGAGGCAGCAGUGGGGAAUAUUGCACAAUGGGCGCAAGCCUGAUGCAGCCAUGCCGCGUGUAUGAAGAAGGCCUUCGGGUUGUAAAGUACUUUCAGCGGGGAGGAAGGUGUUGUGGUUAAUAACCGCAGCAAUUGACGUUACCCGCAGAAGAAGCACCGGCUAACUCCGUGCCAGCAGCCGCGGUAAUACGGAGGGUGCAAGCGUUAAUCGGAAUUACUGGGCGUAAAGCGCACGCAGGCGGUCUGUCAAGUCGGAUGUGAAAUCCCCGGGCUCAACCUGGGAACUGCAUUCGAAACUGGCAGGCUUGAGUCUUGUAGAGGGGGGUAGAAUUCCAGGUGUAGCGGUGAAAUGCGUAGAGAUCUGGAGGAAUACCGGUGGCGAAGGCGGCCCCCUGGACAAAGACUGACGCUCAGGUGCGAAAGCGUGGGGAGCAAACAGGAUUAGAUACCCUGGUAGUCCACGCCGUAAACGAUGUCUACUUGGAGGUUGUGCCCUUGAGGCGUGGCUUCCGGAGCUAACGCGUUAAGUAGACCGCCUGGGGAGUACGGCCGCAAGGUUAAAACUCAAAUGAAUUGACGGGGGCCCGCACAAGCGGUGGAGCAUGUGGUUUAAUUCGAUGCAACGCGAAGAACCUUACCUGGUCUUGACAUCCACAGAACUUUCCAGAGAUGGAUUGGUGCCUUCGGGAACUGUGAGACAGGUGCUGCAUGGCUGUCGUCAGCUCGUGUUGUGAA